rnacentral:lncRNA from 1 species
UCAGUUCAUCAUGAUUAGAUCGAGCAGUGAACUGUCCCAGCGAGAUUUACUUUGCUUAACUGCUAACAAACACGUAAAGGCAAGAGAUCAACAACUCCAUCUAUCGUAGCAGCUAGUUUAGCUAGUCUACGUGCUUUGCCCACAGCAAACGUUGUCCUCCUCACGCGGCACGCAUGCCCGGCAGGCUAGUACACCGGAGCACGCUAGCCGCAUCGCUGUCUCCCGCGUCGGCGCCUUCCGUUGUACUGGCCCGGGGGCGCCGGCCAGUGUGCCCUGCCUGCCGUCACAGGCCGGCCGGUGAACAACCACCAGUCCACCACGCGGAUAGACAGGCAGGCAGGUAGAUGCACACCGCGAGCCCGCGACGGGCACGAAUGAAGCGAAGAUGAUGAUGGCGCCGGCGCGUACAAGUAAAAGGAAGUUUACCGAAAGGAGCAUGCCAUCCUUGCAAGGCAAGUAGCCAGGUACAGUAGUCAGCUAGCCUCGAUCACAUAUUUGUUACCUGUUGGCUGGUGACAAUCUUACAGAAUGGACGGUCGGUUUUAUUCCAGGAUUAUAGAGCGACGGUCAAGAGGUAAGAAGUCUACAGUACAUGGGGCCAUCUAUGUAGCCACACAACUGUUUCUACGGUCUGUAUGGCUGUAUCUCGCCAAACAAUCUGCUACUCUAAUCUGACUACGGCGAAGCUUUAGUGGAAUAAACACCCGGUUCUCUCUAAGGGCCCAUUAGUAGAAAAAGGGUAUAAUGUGAAGCACAGUAGUCCCGGUUUGAAACUGAACCGGCACUAAUGUGACAAUUAGUGCCAAUUCCACCGGCUAGGUGGGCGGAGCUCAUUAGUACCGGUUCGUGGUGAACCUUUAGUACCAGUUCGUACCACGAACCGGUACUAAAGAGGUUGUGGUCAGGCUGGGGGCCCACCAGCACCUUUAGCACCGGUUCAUGCCACAAACCGGUACUAGAGGUUUCUAGUUGAUUCAUUCUGCAGCGCCUUUUUAGUCCAACCUCGCUCCGCUAACAAAGUUUUCACCAUCUUAAAUAUGUUACUUCUCAAACUAUCGCAACCACUUGGUCUUUAUUGAACUCUAUUUGUAGAAUUUGUGGCCACAAUAUGAGUCUUCUCCGGUUUCUAAACCGGUGAGGGCUCAUAUUGACAAUUCAGAUUGUACAUAAAAAGAUCAUUGAUGAUCAAUGUAUUUUUGAUGUAUUUCUCUGUAGCAGUAGCACGUUUUGGCUGAAAGACGGUACUGAUCAAUGUAUUUUUUAUGUAUAUUUUUACAUGUUUACACAAUCUUUUUCGAAGUAUCAGGGUUUCGGAC